GAAAGGUUGCGCAGCUGUCUGCUAAAAAUCAUGGCGAUGCUCAUUGUGUCCAUAUGGAAAAAAGAAGUUACGAACAUAAUAGAUUCGAUUUACAAGAAAUGACUGAAUUAUGUUCGUAACAAUGACACAAAGAUCCAAGACUCAAAAUAGAAGACCUAGGAUAUUUAGUUAUUCAUCUGACAAUUUACUUGUCUGCAUUAAUUCUCUUUGAAAGCUUGUCUAUUAUUAAGCUUUGAAAUGAAAUAUUUAAAGUAUUAAAGACAAGUGUUCGAUUGUCUUGUUAUUUUUUUGUUCCUUUUUAAAGCCUGAUUCGGAGUUAGGUGUCCAUGUUACUUACAUAAUUUCUCCUUUUUUGAAACUAGAAAUAAAAAU